AUUGAACGCUGGCGGCAGGCCUAACACAUGCAAGUCGAACGAGAGGCGGACGGGUGAGUAAUGGAUGGGAAACUGCCUGAUGGAGGGGGAUAACUACUGGAAACGGUAGCUAAUACAGCAUACCAGCGGAUGGGCCCAGAUGGGAUUAGCUAGUAGGUGGGGUAAAGGCUCACGUAGGCGACGAUCCCUAGCUGGUCUGAGAGGAUGACCAUCCACACUGGAACUGAGACACGGUCCAGACUCCUACGGGAGGCAGCAGUGGGGAAUAUUGCCCAAUGGGCGCAAGCCUGAUGCAGCCAUGCCGCGUGUAUGAAGAAGGCCUUCGGGUUGUAAAGUACUUUCAGCGGGGAGGCGUUACCCGCAGAAGAAGCACCGGCUAACUCCGUGCCAGCAGCCGCGGUAAUAC
rnacentral:rRNA from 1 species